CCCUCUCCUUGAUCCUGGGUUCAGCUGUUGCUGUUUAGGGAUCUUGAACUCAAUGAAGGCAGGAAAGGGUGAGGAGUUAUUCUGCUUUGGGGGGAAAAGGUCCGAGACCUGCCCCUUUCUCCUACUUUUCCCCUUGAUUCUGAGCCAAGGCAUAAUCGUUCCCUGAUCACUUCCCCAGAGGGAACAAGCAUCUGCCUCCAUCCUUGGGUCCUCUUCUUUCUCAUGAAGCAAAGCUUUCCUCUUCAAUCAGAAGAAACUCGAUCACACCUGUCUGGUUCCCCACAAGUUUCUGGAGGGAUGCCUGACACAUCAUAGCCCCUCAGAAAAUUAAUUCUCAGCUCAUAGGGCUUCCCUGGUGGCUCAGAUAGUAAACAAUUCACCUGCAAAGAGGAGACCUCGGUUCCAUCCCUGGGUCAGGAAGAUCCCCUGGAGAAGGGAAUGGCAACCCACUCCAGUAUUCUUGCCUGGAGACUCCCAUGGACAGAGG
ensembl:lncRNA